UGGGGAAUUUUGGACAAUGGGCGCAAGCCUGAUCCAGCCAUGCCGCGUGAGUGAAGAAGGCCUUCGGGUUGUAAAGCUCUUUCGGCGGGGAAGAAAUGACACGCUCUAACAUAGCGUGUUGACGACGGUACCCGCAUAAGAAGCACCGGCUAACUACGUGCCAGCAGCCGCGGUAAUACGUAGGGUGCGAGCGUUAAUCGGAAUUACUGGGCGUAAAGCGCGCGCAGGCGGUUUCGUAAGACAGAGGUGAAAUCCCCGGGCUCAACCUGGGAAUGGCCUUUGUGACUGCGAGGCUAGAGUGUGACAGAGGGGGGUAGAAUUCCACCUGUAGCAGUGAAAUGCGUAGAGAUGUGGAGGAAUACCGAUGGCGAAGGCAGCCCCCUGGGUUACUACUGACGCUCAUGCACGAAAGCGUGGGGAGCAAACA
rnacentral:rRNA from 1 species